rnacentral:tRNA from 1 species
GAGGGUACAGCUCAGUGGUAGAGCGCAUGCUUAGCAUGCACAAGGUCCUGGGUUCAAUCCCUGGUACCUCCA